GCAGCAGCCGCGGGAAUACGAAGGGGGCUAGCGUUGUUCGGAUUUACUGGGCGUAAAGCGCACGUAGGCGGAUUCUUAAGUCAGAGGUGAAAUCCCAAGGCUCAACCUUGGAACUGCCUUUGAUACUGGGGAUCUUGAGUCCGGGAGAGGUGAGUGGAACUGCGAGUGUAGAGGUGAAAUUCGUAGAUAUUCGCAAGAACACCAGUGGCGAAGGCGGCUCACUGGCCCGGUACUGACGCUGAGGUGCGAAAGCGUGGGGAGCAAACAGGAUUAGAUACCCGCGUAGUCCCUGUCUCUUAUAC
rnacentral:rRNA from 1 species